AGCCAGAGGAAGAUAUUUUUGGUUUAACCUGCCCAAUGUAUUAUUGUAUGAAUGGCCGCGGUACCCUGACCGUGCUAAGGUAGCGUAAUCAGUUGGCUUUUAAAUGGAGUCAGGUAUGAAUGGGAUAACCGGGCUUAGCUGUCUCAAAGACAUUUAUUUGAAUUUACUGUUCAAGUGAAAAAGCUUGACGUAAGAAAAGGGACGAGAAGACCCUUAGAAUUUUGUUUAAAGAGGAUUAUCUCCUCUAUGAUUUUGUUGGGGCGACAGAGAAAUAAUUAAAACUUUCUUUAAAUUAAUCAGUCGGAAUUUUCAGGUUAGGAUAAAUUACCUGAGGGAUAACAGCAUAAUUUUAUAAAUAAGUUUGUGACCUCGAUGUUGGACUAGGAAGCUAAUGGGUUAGCUGCUCAUUGUGCGGAUUCUGUUCGAAUUUUAACUCCUACGUGAUCUGAG
rnacentral:rRNA from 1 species